UAACGGCGAGUGAACCGGGAAGAGCUCAAAUUUGAAAUCUGGCGUCCUCAGGGCGUCCGAGUUGUAAUCUAUAGAGGCGUUUUCCGUGCCGGACCGUGUCCAAGUUCCUUGGAACAGGAUAUCAAAGAGGGUGACAAUCCCGUACUUGACACGACGACCGGUGCUCUGUGAUACGUCUUCUACGAGUCGAGUUGUUUGGGAAUGCAGCUCAAAAUGGGUGGUGAGUUCCAUCUAAAGCUAAAUAUUGGCGAGAGACCGAUAGCGAACAAGUACCGUGAGGGAAAGAUGAAAAGCACUUUGGAAAGAGAGUUAAACAGUACGUGAAAUUGUUGAAAGGGAAACGAUUGAAGUCAGUCGUGACCGAGAGGCUCAGCCGGUUCUGCCGGUGUAUUCCCCUCGGUCGGGUCAACAUCAGUUUUGUCCGGUGGAUAAGGGCGGUAGGAAGGUGGCACCCUCGGGUGUGUUAUAGCCUGCCGUCGCAUACAUCGGGUGAGACUGAGGAACGCAGCUCGCCUUUAUGGCCGGGGUUCGCCCACGUCCGAGCU
rnacentral:rRNA from 1 species